UUCGUAGGCAACAGCGAGAGUGAAAGGC
rnacentral:piRNA from 1 species